GCGACAAGCGGAGGAGCAUGUGGUUUAAUUCGAUGAUACGCGAGGAACCUUACCUGGGCUCGAACGUAAGAUGACUGUAGGUGAAAGCUUACAUCUCUUCGGAGCAUUUUACGAGGUGCUGCAUGGUUGUCGUCAGCUCGUGCCGUGAGGUGUCGGGUUAAGUCCCAUAACGAGCGCAACCCCUACCUUUAGUUGCCAUCAGGUAAUGCUGGGGACUCUAAAGGAACUGCCUACGCAAGUAGUGAGGAAGGCGGGGAUGACGUCAAAUCAGCACGGCCCUUACGUCCAGGGCUACACACGUGCUACAAUGGCCGAUACAGAGGGCAGCUACCUGGUGACAGGAUGCAAAUCUCCAAAGUCGGUCUCAGUUCGGAUCGGAGUCUGCAACCCGACUCCGUGAAGUUGGAUUCGCUAGUAAUCGCGCAUCAGCCAUGGCGCGGUGAAUACGUUCCCGGGCCUU
rnacentral:rRNA from 1 species